rnacentral:lncRNA from 1 species
AGAGAAGAGUGUGAAGCCUGCUUGGAGAAGAGGAGGAGGCUGAAAAGAAGGCAAAGAGUGAAGAUAGAGAAACAAGAUGGAAGUGGGGGAGAAAAACAGGGAUGAGAGAAUGCCAUGGUGGUGCUGAGAAGGAAAGGAGAGACUUUUCUGCUUGUAAAGGGCAGAAGAUGGCAGAAUCCAGUGACGCAGGGGCAUCUGGCUCCAGAAAUAAUAGGUCACUUGGCACCCACUUCUUCAAAACGGAGGUGUGACAAAAAUGGAAAAGAGAAAGUAAAAAAUAUGGGUAACCCCACAAGAAAAGCAAAUACAAAGGUCAAAUCAGGCUUCAGGGGCAGGGCAAAGCAGAAUGAUUCUUUGAUAUGAAAGAAAUGUCUUCAGCUGACCUAAGCUGAAGGGCAGGAACUUCAAUCAGC